UCGACGAGUUUGAUCAUGGCUCAGAACGAACGCUGGCGGCAGGCCUAACACAUGCAAGUCGAGCGCCCCGCAAGGGGAGCGGCGCACGGGUGAGUAACGCGUGGGAAUAUGCCCUGGGGCUGGGGAUAACGGCGGGAAACUGCCGCUAAUACCCGGUACGCCAUGAGUGGGAAAGGAGCAAUCCGCCCUGGGAGUAGCCCGCGUUGGAUUAGCUAGUUGGUGUGGUAAGAGCGCACCAAGGCGACGAUCCAUAGCUGGUCUGAGAGGAUGAUCAGCCACACUGGGACUGAGACACGGCCCAGACUCCUACGGGAGGCAGCAGUGGGGAAUAUUGGACAAUGGGGGCAACCCUGAUCCAGCCAUGCCGCGUGAGUGAAGAAGGCCCUAGGGUUGUAAAGCUCUUUCGCACGCGACGAUGAUGACGGUAGCGUGAGAAGAAGCCCCGGNUAACUUCGUG
rnacentral:rRNA from 1 species